UUGGAUUCAAUCAUUAAAACACGAUUCUGCAUAUUCCCCCCUUUUUCUUAAAUUGUUCUAGUUUCGAACACGGGCGGAAAAGUAAAAAGAUAGAAACGUUUUCUUGGGAACAAGAAAACUGGGAAAAAAAAAAAUCGUUGUUUAACAUUUUCUUUUUCUUUUUCUUUUCAUAUAUUGAAAGGUAAAAGCAUGUGCAAUACACUUUCGUGGUCGACAUUCUGAAGUCAACCCACACAAAUUCGUGUCUUCGUGAUCUUAAACAAUCGCCUCUUCUAUAUACUUCUCUGAAAAUUAGGUUUAAUUACAGAAAAAUCUGAUAUGGGAUUUGCUUUAACCCCAAUAAUCCACGGAAUCUUUGUUAUUGAAAACCCAAUUUCAUUUACAAGAUCAUAACUUUUCAGUAUUUUCCCAUAAAUUCAGUCAUAAAUUUUCGAUCUUGAUUACAUAUUCUAAUCU
rnacentral:lncRNA from 1 species